GGUCCCUUUGGGAGAGAUGGACCCCCUGGAGUCAAAGGACACCCAGGAGAAGGUGGUCUUUCUGGCCUAAGAGGGGUGCAUGGACGAGAUGGCCUAAUGGGGUUGACCGGGAGCCUGGGCCCUCAAGGACCCCCUGGGGACCAUGUAAGUGGCUUUGCUUUCCCCACCUGAAAUAAAUGUUCAGUGAGAUGAAAGUAAUAGCA